GGAAACCUGCCCAGAAGCGGGGGAUAACACCUGGAAACAGAUGCUAAUACCGCAUAACAACUUGGACCGCAUGGUCCGAGCUUGAAAGAUGGCUUCGGCUAUCACUUUUGGAUGGUCCCGCGGCGUAUUAGCUAGAUGGUGAGGUAACGGCUCACCAUGGCAAUGAUACGUAGCCGACCUGAGAGGGUAAUCGGCCACAUUGGGACUGAGACACGGCCCAAACUCCUACGGGAGGCAGCAGUAGGGAAUCUUCCACAAUGGACGAAAGUCUGAUGGAGCAACGCCGCGUGAGUGAAGAAGGGUUUCGGCUCGUAAAACUCUGUUGUUAAAGAAGAACAUAUCUGAGAGUAACUGUUCAGGUAUUGACGGUAUUUAACCAGAAAGCCACGGCUAACUACGUGCCAGCAGCCGCGGUAAUACGUAGGUGGCAAGCGUUGUCCGGAUUUAUUGGGCGUAAAGCGAGCGCAGGCGGUUUUUUAAGUCUGAUGUGAAAGCCUUCGGCUCAACCGAAGAAGUGCAUCGGAAACUGGGAAACUUGAGUGCAGAAGAGGACAGUGGAACUCCAUGUGUAGCGGUGAAAUGCGUAGAUAUAUGGAAGAACACCAGUGGCGAAGGCGGCUGUCUGGUCUGUAACUGACGCUGAGGCUCGAAAGUAUGGGUAGCAAACAGGAUUAGAUACCCUGGUAGUCCAUACCGUAAACGAUGAAUGCUAAGUGUUGGAGGGUUUCCGCCCUUCAGUGCUGCAGCUAACGCAUUAAGCAUUCCGCCUGGGGAGUACGGCCGCAAGGCUGAAACUCAAAGGAAUUGACGGGGGCCCGCACAAGCGGUGGAGCAUGUGGUUUAAUUCGAAGCUACGCGAAGAACCUUACCAGGUCUUGACAUACUAUGCAAAUCUAAGAGAUUAGACGUUCCCUUCGGGGACAUGGAUACAGGUGGUGCAUGGUUGUCGUCAGCUCGUGUCGUGAGAUGUUGGGUUAAGUCCCGCAACGAGCGCAACCCUUAUUAUCAGUUGCCAGCAUUAAGUUGGGCACUCUGGUGAGACUGCCGGUGACAAACCGGAGGAAGGUGGGGAUGACGUCAAAUCAUCAUGCCCCUUAUGACCUGGGCUACACACGUGCUACAAUGGAUGGUACAACGAGUUGCGAACUCGCGAGAGUAAGCUAAUCUCUUAAAGCCAUUCUCAGUUCGGAUUGUAGGCUGCAACUCGCCUACAUGAAGUCGGAAUCGCUAGUAAUCGCGGAUCAGCAUGCCGCGGUGAAUACGUUCCCGGGCCUUGUACACACC
rnacentral:rRNA from 2 species